rnacentral:rRNA from 1 species
GAUGAACGCUGGCGGCGUGCCUAAUACAUGCAAGUAGGACGCAGUUGCGAACGGGUGAGUAACGCGUAGGUAACUGCCUAUCAGAGGGGGAUAACUAUUGGAAACGAUAGCUAAUACCCCAUACUAGUAGAUGGACCUGCGUUGUAUUAGCUAGUAGGUAGGGUAAUGGGCUAUCUAGGCGACGAUACAUAGCCGACCGUAGAAGGUGAUCGGCCAAACUGGGACUGGGACACGGCCCAGGCACCUACGGGAGGGAGCAGUAGGGAAUCAUCGGAAAUGGGGGGAACGCUGGCCGCGGAACGCCGCGUGAGUGAAGAAGGUUUUCGGGUCGUAAAGCUAUGUUGUUAAGGAAGCGGUACUUAACGAAAAAGGAACGGCUAACUACGUGCCAGCAGCCGCGGUAAUUC